AUCUGUGUUAUCUUUUUCAACCUAGUCACCUUGAGCAGGUUUAAGUUAAAAUGCGCACUUGUUAAGCCCACACAAGCCAGUUAAUUUGAGACAACUUAACCAAGCUGAUUGAAUCGCACAAUUAAUAUGCCAUACUAAUAUGUCCUAGAAGACUUCCUGUAGGCCAGACGUUGCGCAUGCUCAGACGCGCACACGUGCAUAAUGGGAAAGUGGCGGGAGAGAAGAUCUUGAACUGGACUCUAAAGCAAUGUUAGUGGAAAAAAUGUCAACAUCCAAAUAAUGACCUGAGAUGUUGAGGACAACCAAGAAGGAGGUGAUGAUGUUUUGCCGUGAAACAUGAACAUGCAGAACCCGCAGAUGACCUUGAAGUUGUUGGAGUCGUCAUCAGAGAGAAUCACUGCAGGUCCCAUAAGACGUGUCAUGAACUGCUGCGUGGCAGGCAGGUGAGGACCUCAACGCAGGACACUGGACUCGGAAUAACUCAAAAACUCAGCUUUUAUUUGCUGCCAAACACGGGGGUGGAACUGGCAGGAGCAGCAGCAGACGCCUGGAAACAGGAAAAACCAAACAGCACUGAGACCAGGACAACGACGAGGGCGCGACAACAAGCAGAGGAAAACACAGGACUUAAUUACACAAGGGCUGAUGAGGGAAACAGACACAUCUGGGAAACACAGGUGAACAACAUAACACGAACGACACAAGGACAGGAAAACACAGGUCAAAACUAAACACAACUAAGAACGCUGGGUCACAGGACCCAGGACCCUGACAAGAUGUAAGCUCUAAUGUAUCUUUUAAUUCUUAAAUUAGGACGAAUAAAAUUUUAACAUGAAACCGAUACAUAUAAAUGACAGUUGUUGAGAAGUUUGAGGAGUGAAUAGAAAGUUAAUGAAUUGUGUGUGUCCCAUUUUUAUCUGUGUGAUUUCAGCUGAUGGGUGUUAUACAGUUGAACUAUGAGGAGGGAUUUUCUAUAUAUUUUUUUGUUUUGUAUUGAUAACAAUGUGAAAAUGCCAUAAGCAGCAGUGUAUUACAGGUAUUGUCUGUGUUUUCAAACACAGUCAUUGAGCCCCAUUGUUGUUGUCCAGUGUGUCUUUGAUAGGAUUUCUUUGACAUGAAUACAGGAAACCAGCAGCCCUGUGACCUCAGGAUAGAGGAAGCCAACUGUGUAAGUGUCAGUGAACUAGGGCUCAUUUUCAAUGUAUUUACUUUUCAGAAACAGUAAAACAUUGUCAACAGAUUGAAAUGUUAAUUUAUAUGGUAACACAAAUCUGUUGUCAGGUCAUUUAAACACAGGCAGCUCACCAGGUUGGUGCUAUUUUGUGUUUCACUGCUUAAUAAAUGGAGUUUUUC